rnacentral:rRNA from 1 species
AUUGAACGCUGGCGGCAGGCCUAACACAUGCAAGUCGAGCGGAUGAGUGGAGCUUGCUCCAUGAUUCAGCGGCGGACGGGUGAGUAAUGCCUAGGAAUCUGCCUGGUAGUGGGGGACAACGUUUCGAAAGGAACGCUAAUACCGCAUACGUCCUACGGGAGAAAGUGGGGGAUCUUCGGACCUCACGCUAUCAGAUGAGCCUAGGUCGGAUUAGCUAGUUGGUGAGGUAAAGGCUCACCAAGGCGACGAUCCGUAACUGGUCUGAGGGGAUGAUCAGUCACACUGGAACUGAGACACGGUCCAGACUCCUACGGGAGGCAGCAGUGGGGAAUAUUGGACAAUGGGCGAAAGCCUGAUCCAGCCAAGCCGCGUGUGUGAAGAAGGUCUUCGGAUUGUAAAGCACUUUAAGUUGGGAGGAAGGGCAGUAAGUUAAUACCUUGCUGUUUUGACGUUACCAACAGAAUAAGCACCGGCUAACUUCGUGCCAGCAGCCGCGGUAACAC